AUAACAGUUAGAAAUGACUGCUAAUACCGCAUAAGACCACAGCACCGCAUGGUGCGGGGGUAAAAACUCCGGUGGUAUGAGAUGGACCCGCGUCUGAUUAGCUAGUUGGUAAGGUAACGGCUUACCAAGGCGACGAUCAGUAGCCGACCUGAGAGGGUGACCGGCCACAUUGGGACUGAGACACGGCCCAAACUCCUACGGGAGGCAGCAGUGGGGAAUAUUGCACAAUGGGGGAAACCCUGAUGCAGCGACGCCGCGUGAGCGAAGAAGUAUUUCGGUAUGUAAAGCUCUAUCAGCAGGGAAGAAAAUGACGGUACCUGACUAAGAAGCACCGGCUAAAUACGUGCCAGCAGCCGCGGUAAUACGUAUGGUGCAAGCGUUAUCCGGAUUUACUGGGUGUAAAGGGAGCGUAGACGGAUGGGCAAGUCUGAUGUGAAAACCCGGGGCUCAACCCCGGGACUGCAUUGGAAACUGUUCAUCUAGAGUGCUGGAGAGGUAAGUGGAAUUCCUAGUGUAGCGGUGAAAUGCGUAGAUAUUAGGAGGAACACCAGUGGCGAAGGCGGCUUACUGGACAGUAACUGACGUUGAGGCUCGAAAGCGUGGGGAGCAAACAGGACUAGAUACCCUGGUAGUCCACGCCGUAAACGAUGACUACUAGGUGUCGGGUGGCAAAGCCAUUCGGUGCCG
rnacentral:rRNA from 1 species